UGACAGUGCCCACACCAACAACCCUAUAUGGGUGAUCAUCUCCAAGACUCACACUCCCUCCAUCGAACUUCUCAUAGGAUGCAAACCACUCCUAAUGUGCUGUGUAAUGGUGGAAACAUGCUGAAUCUAAUAUCCAGUGGCUAUCCAACUCUGCAACCCUAUCUAACACAACUAGUAUAUCAUCUCCACUGUCCCCAGA
rnacentral:lncRNA from 1 species